ensembl:lncRNA
GGAAAAUGUAGGGUCAUCUCUAGGUCCAGGUGGAGCAGUGAGCCAAGACUUGUUACCACAUGUAGUUAUUGAGGCAAAAGAAGCUAUGGAGGGAGCUGAAGAGCUAUCUGACGGUGCUGGAAAUAGUGGGCUUUUGAUAGUUUCUGCAGAGUCUUUCAACACAACUCCAAAAUCGUCAUCAUUGUAUCUUCCACGUGUUCCAUAUGUGGAAGAGGCUUUAAUUACAUACAGUGAGGACAAUCUACUGGGAGAAGGGACAUUUGGCAAGGUAUAUAGAGGUUCUUUUCAUGGUAUUCCAGCAGCUGUUAAAAGGAUCAUGUGUGGCCAACAAGGGAUGGAGGACAGCGACAUUCAUCAUGAGAUGAAUGUUUCACUGAGACUGUCUCACCCCAACAUCGUCAGACUCAUGGCAGUUGCCCGCACUGAGUCCUGCUUUUUGUUGGCAGCUGAAUACAUUCAUGGCGCAACCCUGCAGCAAGUGCUUCACACAGACAGCUGCUUGGUGAAG